UACGUAGGGGGCAAGCGUUGUCCGGAUUCAUUGGGCGUAAAGAGCGUGUAGGCGGCCAGAUAGGUCAGCUGUGAAAACUCGAGGCUCAACCUCGAGACGUCGGUUGAAACCAUCUGGCUAGAGUCCGGAAGAGGAGUGUGGAAUUCCCGGUGUAGCGGUGAAAUGCGCAGAUAUCGGGAAGAACACCCGUGGCGAAGGCACUCUGCUGGGCCGACACUGACACUGAGAGACGAAAGCUAGGGGAGCGAAUGGG
rnacentral:rRNA from 1 species